UACGGAGGGUCCAAGCGUUAUCCGGAAUCAUUGGGUUUAAAGGGUCCGUAGGCGGUUUUGUAAGUCAGUGGUGAAAGCCCAUCGCUCAACGGUGGAACGGCCAUUGAUACUGCAAGACUUGAAUUAUUGGGAAGCAACUAGAAUAUGUAGUGUAGCGGUGAAAUGCUUAGAAUAUUACAUGGAAAUACCAAUUGCGAAGGCAGGU
rnacentral:rRNA from 1 species